UACGUAGGGUGCGAGCGUUAAUCGGAAUUACUGGGCGUAAAGCGUGCGCAGGCGGCUUUGCAAGACAGAUGUGAAAUCCCCAGGCUCAACCCGGGAACUGCGUCCGAUACUGGAAGGCUUGAAUCCGGGAGAGGGAUGUGGAAUUCCAGGUGUAGCGGUGAAAUGCGUAGAUAUCUGGAGGAACACCGGUGGCGAAGGUGACAUCCUGGACCGGUAUUGACGCUGAGGCGCGAAAGCCAGGGGAGCAAACAGG
rnacentral:rRNA from 1 species